CACCCACAUUCGGAGGAAGUGACAAGACAGACAAAUUGUCCUUAGCGACCACCGGGGCAUCAUACUAAGCAAGAGAGAGCCGCUUGACACUCGUUCUGGGCUGUAGAGUGACACCGCAGAAACGGGGACGGACAGAACCAUUCCAUUAACCGCUAUCAGGAUUAUAUUUUCUAAUCGAUCCGUUGGAGUUCGCCUGUAACAAUUACCUAAUUUUGUUGGUCCACCGCUAUCGCUCACUUUUGAACAUGCUGACAUGUCAAUGGACGCAUCACUGUAAUGAAUGAGGUUCAAGAUGAUACUGAAAAUAAAACAUAUCCUCUGGUUAUACUGCCUGUGUCAAAGUGCAUCUGGAUUCGGUAAGUGUUGCCUACUACUACUUCUACUUCUACUAUUACUACUGCUACUACUACUACUACAGGCUACUACUACUACUACUACUACUAUUAAUACUAAUACUCUCUCUCUCUCUCUCUCUCUCUCUCUCUCUCUCUCUCUCUCUCUCUGUACAGUUUAUGUAUGUGUGAGUUUGUUAAAAAAUGAUUAGUUUCACCAUAUUAAAGUGAGAGUUCAGUUCACAUAACAUGGUUGUCCUUAAAAUAAGGGACAUGCGUAAAUGAAUCACUAAUCACAUUAAAUAAAUAAUAAUCUUCAGAUAUGACUUUGUCAAAGCAACAAAAUGACUAGGGCUUCACAGUGACAGUGGAAUUGGGAGACGUUUUGGGAUUAAGUGGGUUAAAAUCCUCCUAGAAGUGGCACAGGUUUUGACAGAGGGACAUGUCAAAAUGCUGAAUUUUGGAACUUUAGCAAGCCUUUAUUGAAUUUUCCAUGCGGUCUAUAUUAAAGGGCACUUAAUUUAAUAUACAGUUGAAGUCGGAAGUUUACACACACUUGGGUCAUGUGUGUAUGAGCCAAGUUGAACAGUUUAAAGGCAAUGCUACCAAAUACUAAUUGAGUGUAUGUAAACUUCUGACCCACUGGGAAUGUGAUGAAAGAAAUAAAAACUGAAAGAAAUAUUUCUCUCUACUAUUUUUCUGACAUUUCACAUUCUUAAAAUAAAGUGGUGAAUCCUAACUGACCUAAGCCAGGGAAUUUUUACUGGGAUAAAAUGUCAGGAAUUGUAAAAAACUGAGUUUAAAUAUAUUUGGCUAAGGUGUAUGUAAACUUCCCACUUCAAGCGUAUAUAAAUAUCAAAGCGAUACAAAAUGCACUUAUUUUGAGGAAUGACCCAUGCAUGUGUCUCAGCACAAUUCAGGUAGGCAAUUAGUCAAAAACACUUGUUGGUACUAAGUCAGUUGGAAAGUAUUGUGCUUUGGGUGGCAGAUAUUCUAGCGGUUAUAGCAUUAGGCCAGUAACCGAAAGUUUGCUGGUUCAAAUACCUGAGCCGACAAGGUGAAAAACCUGUGGUUGUGCCCAUGUGCAAGGCACUUAACUCUAAUCUGUUCCAGGGGUGCCGUGCUUCCUUUGCUGACCUGUUAAAACAACAGAUUCACUAUAUCUAUCCGGUGUAUGUG
rnacentral:lncRNA from 13 species